UUGCUCAACGAAGAAAUAUUCCGCCUCUGCCCGUU
rnacentral:scRNA from 1 species